rnacentral:lncRNA from 1 species
CAUUUGGGUUCAUAGUGACCCAUGAGGACAUGACAGGGUUUCACAGUGGUUAUCCAAAGUAGCAGGAGCCUUGUCAUUCAUGAAAGACAUUCUCAUACUCUUCAAGGACUAUUUCUGAAGGAGGAAGCAAGGAACGGGGAUCGAUAAAACCAGUUGGGAGACAACUGUAGUGGUUCAGAGAAAAGAUGGCAGCAGUCUCCUCUAAGGAAAUGGUGAUGCGGAUGGAGAACGGGCAGAGCACGUGAGACGUUGAGCACACA